CAAUAGCGUAUAUUAAAGUUGUUGCGGUUAAAAAGCUCGUAGUUGGAUUUCUGCCGAGGACGACCGGUCCGCCCUCUGGGUGUGUAUCUGGUUUGGCCUGGGCAUCUUCUUGGAGAACGUAGCUGCACUUGACUGUGUGGUGCGGUGUCCAGGACUUUUACUUUGAGGAAAUUAGAGUGUUUCAAGCAGGCACACGCCUUGAAUACAUUAGCAUGGAAUAAUAAGAUAGGACCUCGGUUCUAUUUUGUUGGUUUCUAGAGCUGAGGUAAUGAUUAAUAGGGAUAGUUGGGGGCAUUCGUAUUCCAUGGCUAGAGGUGAAAUUCUUGGAUUCAUGGAAGACAAACUACUGCGAAAGCAUUUGUCAAAGAUGUUUUCAUUGA
rnacentral:rRNA from 1 species